CUAGCGAGACUGCCGGUAAUAAACCGGAGGAAGGUGGGGAUGACGUCAAAUCAUCAUGCCCUUAUGACCUGGGCUACACACGUGCUACAAUGGUUGGUACAACGAGUUGCGAGUCGGUGACGGCGAGCUAAUCUCUUAAAGCCAAUCUCAGUUCGGAUUGUAGGCUGCAACUCGCCUACAUGAAGUCGGAAUCGCUAGUAAUCGCGGAUCAGCACGCCGCGGUGAAUACGUUCCCGGGCCUU
rnacentral:rRNA from 1 species